GUUUGGUCUGUAUCUGAGUCAGUUUCAUCAGAAUAACCUCUUUGGCUGGAAAACUUCAAAGCUCAUCUGAACUCUCCUGAUUAGUGACGUGGGAGCAGUAAAUGUCAGGUGUGGACAGUAUUGAUCUCAUCCAGCCAGACUCAAAGGUUGUUCAGCCUGGACAGUCUUUGACCAUCAGCUGUCGGGUUUCUGGAUAUUCACUGACCAGUAGCAGCUAUGCAACAGGCUGGAUCAGACAGAGAGAAGGAAAACCAAUGGACUAGAUUGUUCAUCAUUGAGGAGAUGCGAUCUUUUAUCAAAAUGAAGCUCUGAAAAACAAGUUCAGUUACAGGAACAACAACUCUGGAGAAACAGUGACAAUAACAGGACAGAAUCUGCAGCCUGAAGACAUAGCUGUGUAUUACUGUAUGAGGUGCAGAUGCUUUCCAGAUUGGAACCACUGGGACUCAAACCACCAACACAGCUGGAUAAAUAUCUGCAAAACAAAGCAUGAUUAGUUUAACUUUACCUUUGUUAAUUAAAUUAAGUUCAGUAUUUGGUAAAUCAUCUUUGUUGACAAUUACACCAGUAACAGUUUACUGUUAAAACACAAUCCAGUCAUCCAUAUUAAAUACAUUUGACCUCAGAUCUCAAAUUUUAUUGAGUGCUUACAUCAUUGAGGUUCAAAUCAUUUAAUUUAUACAUGCAAAUUUAUGUUUAAUAAGACCAAAUUCUAAUUUUGAAGACCACUGAAAUUAAACAAGAAUAUUAUUUUAAAAAUAACUAAAUGCAUGAUUAUUAUUCUUAAUUUUUUUUUCAAAUUUUAACACAAUGAGAAAAAAACUACAAAUAAUUCAACUGUAUAAUUUAUUUGUACAACCCUUCAAAACUGCAAGUGAAAACGCAAGUUUUAAAUUGAAACAUUAAAUGUGAGAUCAUUGAUGGCUGGAUUUUUCCCAUUAAUAUGUUUGUCUUUAUGUGAUUUUCGUCUUUAAAACAUGUAAGCACUACAUACUGUCAAGAAUAGGUUCAGAUUUUCCCUCUGUAAUUAAUAUCUCAUGCAUACAUGUGAAGCUGAAACACCAUCUCAUCAAAUGCAAAUACUUUUACUCACUUCAACAUGUAACAGUGCAAAACCAAUAGGAAAAAAAUUAUGACUACUUUUGCUUUUUUAAUUCCUGAAUGCCGUUGAACAUGCAAAUCUCAAGUAAACCACAAGAGGGAGCCAGAGUUCUUCAAACAGUGGUGGAACCAUAGACUAUGGUGGCACCUCUGUAUGGGGCAGGGGCUGGACUAGUGAUGUAGAAGAUGACAGACUCCCUUUAG
ensembl:lncRNA